rnacentral:rRNA from 1 species
UACAGAGGAUGCAAGCGUUAUCCGGAAUGAUUGGGCGUAAAGCGUCUGUAGGUGGCUUUUUAAGUCCGCCGUCAAAUCCCAGGGCUCAACUCUGGACAGGCGGUGGAAACUACCAAGCUGGAGUACGGUAGGGGCAGAGGGAAUUGCCGGUGUAGUGGUGAAAUGCGUAGAGAUCGGCAGGAACACCCAGGGGGAAACCAGUCGACUGGGCAUCUACUGACGCUGAGGUGCGAGAGCGUGGGGAGCGAACCGG